rnacentral:rRNA from 1 species
UACGUAGGGCGCAAGCGUUAUCCGGAAUUAUUGGGCGUAAAGAGCUCGUAGGCGGUUUGUCGCGUCUGCCGUGAAAGUCCGGGGCUCAACUCCGGAUCUGCGGUGGGUACGGGCAGACUAGAGUGAUGUAGGGGGAGACUGGAAUUCCUGGUGUAGCGGUGAAAAUGCGCAGAUAUCAGGAGGAACACCGGUGGCGAAGGCGGG